rnacentral:misc_RNA from 1 species
GCACUUUCCUUUUAAUUAAUAAAAAAAACACAGAAGCAUAGGAUAUUCUCACAAUAAUACAUAUCAUAAGAGUACAUAUUCCAUGAACAACAGCUAUAGAGCCUAUUUACUGGUACCGCAAUUCAUCCUUGAGCUAGCUCUCUCACUCUCCCGUCUACUAAACUAUCUAUUAAUGUUAUCCCAGGUCCACUGUUGUUUACCUAGCUUGAAAAUAGAGAACACAGUCUUCAAAGGGCAAAAUAUAAUUGAAAUAUACAAGAACAGUUCAACAGUACCAAGUAAAUAAGGAAAUUUUAUACUUUGGGGAAACCUGCACAGUGAUUCCCAAAACACAGCUAUGUUCUAGGCCAAAAAUCCAGGAUUUCAUCCACAAAAUCUCAGUAUUUGCAUUAUAUAACACUCUUCCGGUAGUCUUACCAGGUACUGGCUACAUUACGGAAGUCUACAAAGUUAUUUAUGUUUGACAAAGACCCAUACAAACAGAAAACCUCAAAAUAAUAGAUUCCCAAUCUCAUGUUGACAUUAAAUUAACUCCCAAUAUAACAAUGAAAUGAAAUUCUUUACCAAUUUUUUUUUCUUUUUUUAAAAU